rnacentral:lncRNA from 1 species
CACCUCUGCACUUACUUGGUAGAAGUCAAAUUAAGUUUCAUCUCUUCAGGAUACUUUAUUGCUUAAUGCAGAGAAUAAGGGAAUUCUUUAGAGAAGAACAAGGCAUCAACUAAAAUGCCUUUACAAAAUCCUGUGCUGUUGCAAUCCUUUUACACUGAUACAAGGAAGCAGCUAAUGUGAUGUGAGAACUUCUUACGUUUUGCAAAUAAUUGGCCUUGAAAAACUUUUAUUUGCUCUUCAAAAGUCUUAUUUAUGUAGCAAGGUCAAAAUUAAGACAAAAUUGCAUGUAAAGUAAUAUGGCUAUUCUUGUAAAAAUUUUUACCCUAAAAUGAUAAGGAUAUUAUAGUUGAAAUAUAUAUAGAAGCUGAAAACUAUGUUAGUUUACCCAUUACAAGAGACUUGAGGAGAAAACUCACAGGAAUAUACACACAUAUACAUGGUUACUCUCAUACUAUAAGAAUCUUAAGGACAAAUACAAUAUCAAUUAUUUAUCAUGUGACUCUCAAGGCAUAUAUUUUCAGUUCUUAAUGAGUAGAACUCAAAUGUUUAUGGAAUUGAAAAGGGAUUGUGAUAGAAUAUAUGUGACAGAACAGAAAACUCCCUAACUCUAAUGCUUGUGCAUCUCAUAUAAACAGACCUUGUAAGCCUAUCACGUGUUUCUUAUAAAGGCCAUGAAUCACUUUGUCUUAUUUGUCGAUUCUGAGAUUUUUUUUUUACUUUUAUUCAUUUAUAUUUAUUUUGUAUUUUUUUAAUUUUAAUUUUUUUCCCACUGUACAGUGUGGGGACAAAGUUACUCUUACAUGUAUACAUUUUUUUUUCCCACCCUUUGUUCUGUUGCAUUAUAAGUAUCUAGACAUAGUUCUCGAUGCUCCUCAGCAGGAUAUUUUGUCAUUUUUAGGGCUACAACAGAAUGGCAUAUGGAAGUUCCCAGGCUGGGGUUGAAUCAGAGAUGUAGUUUUUGGUCUACACCACCGCCAUAGCAAGGCUAGGGAUCCAACACAUGUCCUCAUGGAUAUUGGUCAGUUUUGUCACUGCUGAUCCACGACAGGAAGUCCAAUCUUUUUUUUUUUUUUAUUUUAAAUGGGAAAGUUGAAAAACUUUUGAGGAGUUCCCAUUGUGGUGCAGCGGAAAUGAAUCCAACUAGGAACCAUGAGGUUGCGGGUUUGAUACCUGGCCUUGCUCAGUGGGUUAAGGAUCUGGUGUUGCUGUGAGCUGUGGUGUAGACAGCAGACACGGCUCAGAUCUGGUAUGGCUAUGGCUGUGGCAUAGGCCAGGAGCUGUAGCUCGGAUUAGACCCCUAGCCUGGGAACCCUCAUAUGCCGAGGGUACGGCCCUAAAAAGACAAAAAAAGAAAAAGAAAAGAAAAGAAACACUUUUGCAAUGAAGGCACUAAACUCUCAGCUGGUAGAGUUAAGGCCAUCUAAUCCCAUCCAUUUUUUAAGGUCCUAGAGAAUCAGAUGUCUGAUUUUAUGUUGUAUGGCAAUUUAGCAGUAGAUAGAUAAUGGAUAAUCAGGCCUUUUCUCUUGUAGUAGCAAAAUCUUGUGUAGUUUCCAUAACACCAUGAAUUGUUCAUAGACAAACAGAAAAAGAUUGAAGCAUUUCCUCAGACGAUAACACUUCCACGUGCACUAAAAAAUUGUACAGGCCUUUUUGAGUACCAGGAAUAAGUAUAUCAGGAGUUCCCGUCGUGGCACAGUGGUUAACAAAUCCGACUAGGAAACAUGAGGUUGCGGGUUCGAUCCCUGCCCUUGCUCAGUGGGUUAACGAUCCGGUGGUGCCAUGAGCUGUGGUGUAAGUCACAUACGUGGCUUGGAUCCCGCAUUGCUGUGGCUCUGGCAUAGGCCAGUGGAUACAACUCCGAUUAGACCUCUCGCCUGGCAACCUCCAUAUGCCGUGGGAGCGGCCCAAGAAAUGGCAAAAAGACCAAAAAAAAAAAAAAAAAAAAAAAGAAUAUCAUAAGUUCCUCUAAUUUUAAAACCAAAGUAUUUAUGCCACUGUGAAUUUAGGAGGCUUUGAUUUUAAAUUGACUUUGGACUGUCUGGCCUAUUUUACAAAACUUUCACUAAAUGUGAAGUACAUAUUUGAUAAUUAUGUGUUCAGAAAAGGUAAUAUAAUUUAAGAUUCUCUCACUUGGCUGAUACAAACAGCAGUGUUUAUCCCUGCCUUUAAUUAUUCAGACUAUCUACCCCUGGUAAUGAUUGGAUUCCAGCCUGAUGACUCUCACAGGACAUGGUCUCCAGCUGUGCUAAAAGCAUGGAAACUUUGCUACAUUCAUUUGAAAGCACAUGUUUGGGGCAGUAAUAUCUUCUAUGUAGUCACAUGAUCACUUGAUUACUGCUGCUACAGAAUGGUAGUACUUCAUCAACAUGAUGGGCAACUUCACUUUAACUAUUAAAAUGUCCUUGAUAUCCUCCUAUGUGUGGACUAUGAAGGGUACGUAUAUAGAAAAUACAUUGUCCCAUGUCUCAAGAAUCUUGCAGAGGACCAAGGGACAGGAUCAUGUAUAGCAUAUCUUAAUCUCUGAGUAGAUUUCCUCAACCUACUCCCAGCCUGACCAAGUACAUUGUCUUCUUCACUCAGAACCUAGAAUGCAGUGGUUAACAAUGAAACUAGAGGCUGUGAGUUUGAUCUCCAGUCUGGGUCUGGUCAUGUUUUAACCAUUUAAACUUGGGCAGGUUAUGUAAUUUCUUUGUACCUCAGUUUCCGUAUCUAUAAUAUGGGGAUAAUAAGAAUAAUAUUAUUAGGUUGAAAUACAUGACAUUAGUAUCUUUGAAAAUCAAAGUGGAACAUCAUUUAGUUACAUAUUUAUCUCUUAGGGGUGUUAUAGGAAUUACUAAAUGUAAGCACUUAGAACAGUGUUAGCACAUAGGAAGCGUUCAAUAAAUGUUGGUUAUUAUUAAAAUACAAAUUCUAUCCACCCUUUAGAGAAAGACUCUAAUCUCAUUUAUUUCCCAGAUUUCUUUAACUACUUCUCUCCUAGGAUAAUUGUCUAAACCAGUCAUGUGGCAAUAACUCAUGUAAAAUCCUGACACUUUUUUCUGCUAUUUCAUCAUUUUUAUAUUUAUUCUCCAUCCAGUGAAAUCAAAAGUCCCCUAAAAAUCAGAAACAUACUGAAAAUAGUCCUCUCCACUCACUACCACAAUUUGUUAUGCUUAGGAUCAGUUACAAGCAGUUUUCCCAUGUUCAAAAAAUUUUCUCCUAUAUAUGAGCAUUAUGCACAUAUAUAUGUGUGCAUAAUAGAAAGAGGAUGAAUUCGAGUAUCAGUGCCAGUUGCCCUGACAGUCAAAAAGUGGUUUUAGUUUCAGGUUAUCAAGUCAUCAAUUACCCCAGAAUAAAAUUUGGUGAAAUAGAUUAGAUUUGUUUCUGAAACUCAGGAAAUCAGCUUCCAAGAGUUUAAGAACCUAAAGUGGCAGAUCUUUUAUUUGGCAUGAAAAGUAAAUUAUGUUAAUAUUAAGUUGGACUGGAGGAAGAAAAUUACAUAUGCUGACCUGCCGGUUCUUAAGACGUUUUGAAUAAUUUUAUUACGGGAAUUAAUACACAAGUAUAUGAGUGUUUAAUUCAUGUUAUACUGCUAUUUAAAUUUAUAAUUUGAUUUAGAUAGUGUCAUGUUCUCAUAGAUUGCCAUUAAAUUUAGAAUACUACAAUUUUUUAACAGCCUACACUUCAAGUGUUUCUUUUAGAGCUUUUUAGAUACUGUAAGAAUAUAUAAAUUAUUUUAUCAUUCUGUAAAAUUCUAAGCAUAUAUUUUAAAAUUUACACGAAUAUAAAUUAAUUUUAUUAUCAAAUAUAGACUGUUAAUUUGAAAUUCUAGUAAUUUUAAUAAAAUACAUUUAAUUUAAUCAGAAAGCUUUUAUUUUGCUAUUAAAGGGUCACUUUUUCAAGAAUGGGGAAAGGAAGUGUUGGCAUGUUUGAACAUUAGUCUUUUAAUUGGAAAAAAAAAUCUUCAAAUCCCUUCUUGGCAUUCUACAUCUAAUAUCACAGGGAAAUUAAAUAUCUAUUUAAAAUGGCCUGCAUUAUACCAUAUUCAUGAAAUAUUUAUCAAGUGAUAUUAACAGUGUUAAGAAGUAAAUUAUCCUUUGUAAAUGGUGGCUGAACUUUGACCUGUUUCUGAAGUCCUUUGAUAAUUCUCCAUUGCACAUUUGUAGCAGUUCAUGCCAUUGACUUUUAGUCUGUCUAGCGAGAUUAUAUAAGCCUGCUAGCUCUAACAAAUCUACUACGAAUCAUAGUCUAAAGUACUGGAAAGAAUGUUUUCAGCUAUAAUAUUUAAAAGGCAUAAAAUCCCUAGAAAACACCCUUUGAAAAUGAUGAGGAAAAAAUACAUACAUACACAUACAUAUAUAUACAUGUAUAUAUAUGUAUCCAUACAAAUGUAUAUGAAGUAAAAUGUAUGGUAUUUUAGUCCAUUUCAAAUGCUGGUAUCAGGGCACCAUCUUUUAGAACCAGGAGGUAUCAUAGAGUCUCGAUUCUAUUCUUUAAAAAUUAUAUAACAGGGAGUUCUCGUCAUCUCUCAGUGGUUAGCGAAUCUGACUAAGAACCAUGAAGUUGCAGGUUUGAUCCCUGGCCUUGCUCAGUGGGUUAAGGAUCCGGCGUUGCUAUGAGCUACGGUGUAGGUCCCAGAUAUGGCUCGGAUCCGGCGUUCCUGUGGCUCUGGCAUAGGCUGGCGGCUACAGCUCUGAUUCAACCCCUAGCAUGGGAACCUCCAUAUGCCAUGGGAGCAGCCCUAGAAAAGGCAAAAAGACAAAAAAAUAAAAUAAAAUAAAAUAAAAAUUAGAUAACAACACGAGAUGAUUUUCUGAUCUUUUAAAAUUAAGCACUUUAAUUUUUUAUGGUGUUUGAAUACAUGUAAUAACUUUCUAAUUUGCUAUUAAUCCAUUAAAUAAAGUGAGCAAUCUACAAUGAGUUUCAAUAGUAAACAAAUACUGACCCAUGGUAGAACUUGUAUACACUUGUAAAUUAACAAAAUUUAUUUUAGCAUAACCUAAAUGCUCCUGAAGCAGAGAUUUGACUUGGCUCUCUGUGUUUAUACAUAAUUCAGAGAUUUCACUUCUACUGUAUGCAAUAUAUAUAUGUACACACACACACACACACACACACACACACAUCUAUGCCAGUAUCAUUUAAAAAAUAAUUUUGUUAACUAAAUGAAAAAGAAACACAUUGAUUUAAUAAAAAAAAAUCCCAGCAUCUUUACAUGAUUGAAAUGGCCAAAGUCAACAAUGUCUAUAUGGAAAUCUGAAAGCAAAAUCAGGCUUAGUAUUAAAUGUACCCACAGCCACUGACCAUUGAAGGAAUUCUAAUAAUGUCUUAGUCUGUGGAUAUUCAGCUGGAUUACAAUGCAGUGCAAAGACUGCAGAUAACCCUCAUUUCAAAAACAAGAAGAGAAAGCAUUCUACUUCAUUCCUGCUUAUUACCCUACUGAAAUUAUAUUUUCAAAAUCAUUAGUGGCUAUGUCCUAACCAUUAUUUCCUUAAUUUUCAUCUGCCUGAAAUCAUCUUAUUCUCUUUUUCCUUGAGUUCUGCCUCUCACUAACUUCCAAAAAAUUACCCUUGUUUUCAUUUCAUUAUAUAAAAUCAUUGCUCUCCUUUUCCUGUUUUUGUCUUCCUACCUACCUCUGAAUGCACAAAUCCUUUAGUAUUUUCUCUGCUCUUUUAUUCCUACCUUCAGACUCGCUAGAAAGCAAGUCUAUUUGCUUUUAUCUGUAAUCUCCAUAGUAAUCAUCAAAUUUCUCUGAGCUCUGACCUUUGAAAUACACACUUAUGAAACCUCUCUCCUUUUCUCCUAAGAUACAGAUUCCUAUCAAUAACUCAGGUACACAUCUUGCAGUUUGUUAUUUUUAUUCCUCUCUCUAUAUUCAGUCCCUUCAAUUCUGCACCCCAUCACCCUUCAAUUCUGUGUGCUCCACCACACCAGGCCAGAAGUGCCUUUUGUUAUGUGCAAACUACAACAGGAUUUUAAAUUCUCCUUGAAAGUGGUUAUGUCCUACAGAGCUUUUUCCUGGGUUUCCUGGUUUGGUCUCCUUACUUUCCAAUACUUUGUGUUGUAGAAUUACAGAGUACAAGACUGUGCACCUCAUUCACUCUCUGCUUUCAGGUUGCCUAGGUUUGGAAACUGACUCUUCUUCCUUUUGGCGAGGUGAACUGGCAAUUUGAUUGACAGUCUUGUGACUGUAAAAUGGGCAAAAUAAUAGAAUUUUCUCAUAGAUGUUUGUAAAGAUUAAAUGAUUAGUAUAUAUGAAUCUCUUAGCAACACUAAAUAGAUGCUUUAUUAUUUAGCAUGUUAAUGUAAGAUAUGGUAUAUUAGGAUAUUGUUAUGUAGUAUAUUAGUACAUAGUAUAUUUGGUAUUAGUCUUUAUU